rnacentral:rRNA from 1 species
UACAGAGGGGGCAAGCGUUGUCCGGAAUCAUUGGGCGUAAAGAGCGUGUAGGCGGCUCGGUAAGUCCGCUCUGAAAGCCCGGGGCUCAACCCCGGGAGGCGGGCGGAUACUGUCGGGCUAGAGUCCGGAAGAGGCGAGUGGAACUCCUGGUGUAGCGGUGAAAUGCGCAGAUAUCAGGAGGAACACCAAUGGCGAAGGCAGCUCGCUGGGACGGUACUGACGCUGAGACGCGAAAGCGUGGGGAGCAAACAGG